rnacentral:rRNA from 1 species
CUACGGGUUGCUCCAGUGGGGAAUAUUGCACAAUGGAGGAAACUCUGAUGCAGCAACGCCGCGUGGAGGAUGACACUUUUCGGAGCGUAAACUCCUUUUAUAUAGGAAGAAGAUGACGGUACUAUAUGAAUAAGCGCCGGCUAACUCCGUGCCAGCAGCCGCGGUAAUACGGAGGGCGCAAGCGUUACUCGGAAUCACUGGGCGUAAAGAGCGUGUAGGCGGAUUAAAAAGUCAGAAGUGAAAUCCUAUAGCUUAACUAUAGAACUGCUUCUGAAACUCUUAAUCUAGAAUGUGGGAGAGGUAGAUGGAGUUUCUGGUGUAGGGGUAAAAUCCGUAGAGAUCAGAAGGAAUACCGAUUGCGAAGGCGAUCUACUAGAACAUUAUUGACGCUGAGACGCGAAAGCGUGGGGAGCAAACAGGAUUAGAUACCCGGGUAGUC